rnacentral:rRNA from 1 species
GAUGAACGCUAGCGGGAGGCUUAACACAUGCAAGUCGAGGGGCAGCACGGGUAGCAAUACUUGGUGGCGACCGGCAGACGGGUGAGUAACGCGUAUGUAACCUACCCCAUACAGAGGGAUAACUCGAAGAAAUUCGGACUAAUAUCUCAUAAGACCACACGAGGACAUCCGAGAGUGGUUAAAGUUCCGGCGGUAUGGGCUGGGCAUGCGUAACAUUAGCUAGUUGGUAAGGUAACGGCUUACCAAGGCUUCGAUGUUUAGGGGUCCUGAGAGGGUGGUCCCCCACACUGGUACUGAGACACGGACCAGACUCCUACGGGAGGCAGCAGUGAGGAAUAUUGGUCAAUGGGCGCAAGCCUGAACCAGCCAUCCCGCGUGCAGGAAGACGGCCCUAUGGGUUGUAAACUGCUUUUCCAGGGGGGCGAAUAGCUCUUACGUGUAAGGGUAUGACUGUACCUUGGGAAUAAGCAUCGGCUAACUCCGUG